GUAGCGGCGAGCGAAACGGGAACAGCCUAAACUACUUACUUGUAAGUAGGGUUGUGGGACAGUUGACAUGAAUUUAUGGAAGCUAGAUGAAAUGGUUGGAAUGCCAUAACGAAGAAGGUGAAAUUCCUGUAAUCGAAAGCAGAUAUAAUCUAAACUGUAUCCCGAGUAGUAUGGAGCACGUGAAAUUCCGUAUGAAUCAGCGAGGACCACCUCGUAAGGCUAAAUAUUCCUAGAUGACCGAUA
rnacentral:rRNA from 1 species